rnacentral:rRNA from 1 species
UGAGGUAACGGCCCACCAAGGCGACGAUCGGUAGCCGGACUGAGAGGUUGAACGGCCACAUUGGGACUGAGACACGGCCCAGACUCCUACGGGAGGCAGCAGUGGGGAAUAUUGCACAAUGGGGGAAACCCUGAUGCAGCGACGCCGCGUGGAGGAAGAAGGUCUUCGGAUUGUAAACUCCUGUUGUUGAGGAAGAUAAUGACGGUACUCAACAAGGAAGUGACGGCUAACUACGUGCCAGCAGCCGCGGUAAAACGUAGGUCACAAGCGUUGUCCGGAAUUACUGGGUGUAAAGGGAGCGCAGGCGGGAAGACAAGUUGGAAGUGAAAUCUAUGGGCUCAACCCAUAAACUGCUUUCAAAACUGUUUUUCUUGAGUAGUGCAGAGGUAGGCGGAAUUCCCGGUGUAGCGGUGGAAUGCGUAGAUAUCGGGAGGAACACCAGUGGCGAAGGCGGCCUACUGGGCACCAACUGACGCUGAGGCUCGAAAGUGUGGGUAGCAAACAGGAUUAGAUACCCUGGUAGUCCACACCGUAAACGGUGAUUACUAGGUGUUGGAGGAUUGACCCCUUCAGUGCCGCAGUUAACACAAUAAGUAAUCCACCUGGGGAGUACGACCGCAAGGUUGAAACUCAAAGGAAUUGACGGGGGCCCGCACAAGCAGUGGAGUAUGUGGUUUAAUUCGACACAACGCGAAGAACCUUACCAAGUCUUGACAUCCUGCGACGAUGCUGGAAACAGUAUUUUCCUUCGGGACGCAGAGACAGGUGGUGCAUGGUUGUCGUCAGCUCGUGUCGUGAGAUGUUGGGUUAAGUCCCGCAACGAGCGCAACCCUUACUGUCAGUUACUACGCAAGAGGACUCUGGCAGGACUGCCGUUGACAAAACGGAGGAAGGUGGGGAUGACGUCAAAUCAUCAUGCCCUUUAUGACUUGGGCUACACACGUACUACAAUGGCGUUAAACAAAGAGAAGCAAGACCGCGAGGUGGAGCAAAACUCAGAAACAACGUCCCAGUUCGGACUGCAGGCUGCAACUCGCCUGCACGAAGUCGGAAUUGCUAGUAAUCGUGGAUCAGCAUGCCACGGUGAAUACGUUCCCGGGCCUUGUACACACCGCCCGUCACACCAUGAGAGCCGGGGGGACCCGAAGUCGGUAGUCUAACCGCAAGGAGGACGCCGCCGAAGGUAAAACUGGUGAUUGGGGUGAAGUCGGAACAAGGUAGCCGUAGGAGAACCUGCGGCUG